CUAUUGCCAUUGGUGAAUGCUCCGAUGAUAAAUUACACAUUGACAUGGCUAGAGUCAGCUGGUGUAGAAGAGGUUUUUGUUUUCUGUUGUGCUCAUUCGAAGCAGGUGAUUAACUAUUUGGAGAAAUCUGAGUGGUUUAAUCAACCUAAUUUCACCGUAACAACUAUUGAGUCUCAGAAUUCUGUCAGUGCUGGAGAUGCUCUGCGUGUUAUUUACGAGUGCAAUGUGAUACAUGGAGACUUUGUCCUUGUCAGCGGAGAUACUGUGAGCAACAUGUCGCUUACUCAGGCACUUUUAGAACACAAAGAAAGGAAGAAGAAAGAUAGUAAUGCUGUAAUGACCAUGGUUAUCAAACGGUCAAAAACUAAUCCAGCUAUAUAUCCACCAGUCUCGACUUGGUACUGAUGAAAUUUUCAUGGCUAUUGAUCCUGAUACCAAGCAACUUUUGUAUUAUGAGGAUAAGGUAGACUAUUCAAAAGGCACUCUACAUCUCGAAAAUUCAUUGCUUGCUGAUAAUCCUUCCCUCUCUCUGCACCAUGACAAGCAGGAUUGUUACAUUAACAUCUGCUCACCAGAAGUCCUUAGCCUAUUUACAGACAAUUUUGACUACCAACAUCUUCGGCGUCAUUUUGUCAAGGGAUUGCUUGUUGAUGAUGUAAUUUCUCUUCCCCAUGCUAAAUUGACAUGCAUUAUUGUCUUUAAUAGAUUGAAAAAGAUUAUCCGUUCAUGA